UCAUCAGUAGGUUAAUGAGGUAACAAUGUAAAGCGCUUUGAGUACCCGAGAUAGAAAAGUGCGAUAUAAAUGACAGCCCAAUUUCAACUCGCGCAAAAAUAAAGCGUUUUCAUGAGACAUCGCCAACAUUGCUCCAUUUAUCAAAUCAAGACAUAAAAAAUAAAACUAGAGCCUUCACUGUUAUCUUUGUACAUGUUCAGACGAACACAACAAGAAGUUGUUUAAAGCAUUGAGAGUGUGAUUACAUUUAUUUUGUUGGUCUCUGCUAGUUGAACCCUCUCGAGUCUUUGGACUGGUCCUUUUUUUAUUGCUAGUGUAUCGCAGUGGGACACGGUGAUGGAUGAGCAAGUAUUUGCCUGAAUGUACUCUUUACGUUGCAAGGGUGAUUGAUAGCCCACAAGGACAGAGAUCAAUGGAUCAGCAAGUAAGAGCAGACUUGGCUGAAAUGUUGCAAUGUAAUCAAACUGAAGAAGACGCCGGAAUCAAAUUCCACAAGUUUUUUUUUUCCCCUCAGUUUUUUAUAUGUGGCGCGAGCAGAUGGAAGACAUCCUGCUGGGAUGUGAUGGUUGUGCUGUGUAUAUGGAUAUUUGUUUGUGACUGGCAUCUUCAAAUGGCUUUCGUCUCCUCUGAGACGUUAAUGGCCGUCAUACAUCACAACGUUUGCGCGUCCCGCCGCGACUGUGGCAAGCGAUGCCCGCACAAGUUAAUGAUCGGCAUUCGCAAAGGGAAUGAAGAUAUAUGCAUUUCUUCUGAGCAAUUCUUGACGCCGACAGAAAUGGCUUCUGGUGGGGAGAAAAAAAAAAUAAAACAUCCAACCAUG